rnacentral:rRNA from 1 species
CCUACGUGAGGCAGCAGUGAGGAAUAUUGGUCAAUGGGCGGAAGCCUGAACCAGCCAAGUCGCGUGAGGGAUUAAGGCCCUGCGGGUCGUAAACCUCUUUUGCCGGGGAGCAGUGGUCCGGACGUGUCCGGGCCGGGAGAGUACCCGGAGAAAAAGCAUCGGCUAACUCCGUGCCAGCAGCCGCGGUAAUACGGAGGAUGCGAGCGUUAUCCGGAUUUAUUGGGUUUAAAGGGUGCGUAGGCGGGCAUUUAAGCCGGCGGUCAAAUGUCGGGGCUCAACCCCGGCCUGCCGUCGGAACUGGGUGCCUUGAGUGGACGAGAGGUAUGCGGAAUGCGUGGUGUAGCGGUGAAAUGCAUAGAUAUGACGAAGAACCCCAGUGGCGAAGGCAGCCUGCUGGCGCUCUACUGACGCUGAGGCACGAAAGUGGGGGUAUCGAACAGGAUUAGAUACCCCUGUAGUC